rnacentral:rRNA from 1 species
AUGUUGCGUAGUAUAGGUGGGAGAAUAUGAGGGAGGGGUUUUGGCCCCUUCGGAGUCACAAUGUGAAAUACCACCCUUUAUGAUUUACUGCACUCACCCCGUCCAAUUUUCUUGAAACGUGUAAAAACGUUUAUUUUGUAUCCCCUUUACUUGGGACGAUACGAAGUAUUUAUCGAGGAAGUCGGACGGGGGACAGUGCUUGGUGGGUAGUUUAACUGGGGCGGUUGCCUCCUAAAAAGUAACGGAGGCGCGCAAUGGUUGGCUUAGUCCGGAUGGAAACCGGACGUGACGUGUAUUCGCAAAAGCCAGCCUGACUGAGAGACCUACAAGUCGAUCAGAGUCGAAAGACGGUGAAAAUGAACCGGCACUCACGCAUGGAAGUGGUGUCGAUCAACGGAUAAAAGUUA